rnacentral:tRNA from 1 species
GCCACUGUGGCUCAGUGGUUAGAGCGUUGGCCUGAGCACCAAAGGGUCGCGGGUUUGACUCCUGAUCGAGGGCA